GACGAACGCUGGCGGCGUGCCUAAUACAUGCAAGUUGAGCGCUGAAGGUUGGUACUUGUACCAACUGGAUGAGCAGCGCACGGGUGAGUAACGCGUGGGGAAUCUGCCUUUGAGCGGGGGACAACAUUUGGAAACGAAUGCUAAUACCGCAUAAAAACUUUAAACACAAGUUUUAAGUUUGAAAGAUGCAAUUGCAUCACUCAAAGAUGAUCCCGCGUUGUAUUAGCUAGUUGGUGAGGUAAAGGCUCACCAAGGCGAUGAUACAUAGCCGACCUGAGAGGGUGAUCGGCCACAUUGGGACUGAGACACGGCCCAAACUCCUACGGGAGGCAGCAGUAGGGAAUCUUCGGCAAGAGACGAAAGUCUGACCGAGCAACGCCGCGGGAGUGAAGAAGGUUUUCGGAUCGUAAAACUCUGUUGGUAGAGAAGAACGUUGGUGAGAGUGGAAAGCUCAUCAAGUGACGGUAACUACCCAGAAAGGGACGGCUAACUACGUG
rnacentral:rRNA from 1 species